rnacentral:rRNA from 1 species
CGCAUCUGUGCAUGCAGCAUAUCAAUAAGCGGAGGAAAAGAAACUAACAAGGAUUCCCCUAGUAACGGCGAGUGAAGCGGGAAGAGCUCAAAUUUGAAAUCUUAAAGGGUUUCCCUUUACGAAUUGUAGUUUAAAGAAGUGUUUUCUGUUGAGGUUUUGGUAAAAGUUCUUUGGAAUAGGACAUCAUAGAGGGUGAGAAUCCCGUAUUUGACCUUUACUUUCAACUUUGUGAUACACUUUCAAAGAGUCGGAUUGUUUGGGAAUGCAGUCCAAAAUGGGUGGUAAAUUUCAUCUAAAGCUAAAUAUUGGCGAGAGACCGAUAGCGAACAAGUACCGUGAGGGAAAGAUGAAAAGAACUUUGAAAAGAGAGUUAAACAGUACGUGAAAUUGUCAAAAGGGAAGCGUUUGACUACCAGUGUUGUAUUUCUGAAAAUCAAUUAAAGAACUGUUUAUGCUAAGCUGUUUAGACUUUAUCAGCUAUCUGUUUAGUUUUGAGCUUUUCUUUAAUGCACCUUUCAGUUAACAAGUCAACAUCAAUUUCUUUUGCUGUAAAAAAGCUUGAGGAAGGUGGCUUGAGAUUCGUCUUAAGUGUUUAUAGCCUCUUGCCUAUGCAGUCGGAGAGAUUGAGGUCUGCAGCGUAGAUCCUUCGGGGCUAAAUGCAUUUGUGCUAAGUUAUAGCAUUUUAUAGACAACUUGUUGACUAUGAUUUGUCUUGUAGCUUACUCGCUUAUGUUAUUUUACCUACGCUUAGGAUGUUGAGUCGUAGAGCACGCAG